ACCGCCCGUCACACCAUGAGAGUUGGGGAUACCCGAAGCCUGUGAGCUAACUUUUAGAGGCAGCAGUCGAAGGUAGAAUCAAUGAUUGGGUGAAGUCGUAACAAGGUAUC
rnacentral:rRNA from 1 species